UACGAAGGGGGCUAGCGUUGCUCGGAAUCACUGGGCGUAAAGGGUGCGUAGGCGGGUCUUUAAGUCAGGGGUGAAAUCCUGGAGCUCAACUCUGGAACUGCCUUUGAUACUGGGUAUCUUGAGUAUGGAAGAGGUAAGUGGAAUUGCGAGUGUAGAGGUGAAAUUCGUAGAUAUUCGCAAGAACACCAGUGGCGAAGGCGGCUCACUGGCCCGAUACUGACGCUGAGGUGCGAAAGCGUGGGGAGCAAACAGGG
rnacentral:rRNA from 1 species